rnacentral:rRNA from 1 species
CCCCCUAGAUGUUCUGGGCCGCACGCGCGCUACACUGAACAGUUCAACAAGUCUUAACCUUGGCCGAUAGGUCUGGGUAAUCUUUGAACGCUGUUCGUGAUUGGGAUAGACCUUUGCAAUUAUGGGUCUUCAACGAGGAAUUCCUAGUAAACGCAAGUCAUCAGCUUGCAUUGAUUACGUCCCUGCCCUUUGUACACACCGCCCGUCGCACCUACCGAUUGAAUGGUCCGGUGAAAUCUCGGGACGGCGGCUUGGUCGCUUGCGUCCGACUGCUGAAACUUGAUUAAACCAUAUCAUUUAGAGGAAGGUGAAGUCGUAACA